rnacentral:rRNA from 1 species
GCGUGAAUGAUGAAGGCCCUAGGGUUGUAAAAUUCUUUCAGCGGGGAAGAUAAUGACGGUACCCGCAGAAGAAGCCCCGGCUAACUCCGUGCCAGCAGCCGCGGUAAUACGGAGGGGGCUAGCGUUGUUCGGAAUUACUGGGCGUAAAGCGGGUGUAGGCGGGUCUUUAAGUCGGGGGUGAAAUCCCAGGGCUCAACCCUGGAACUGCCCUCGAUACUGGAGACCUAGAGGUCGGGAGAGGUGAGUGGAAUUCCGAGUGUAGAGGUGAAAUUCGU